CGGGCGGAGGAGGAGCGGAGCGGGGCCGGAGAGCCCGACGCGGCCGGGCCAUUGUCUGGGCGGCCACACAAAGCGGCCGGCCGCGCUGCGCGCCCACCCCGGCCCGGCCCCGCGCAACGCCCUCCUCGGCCUGCCCGGGGGGGGGGGGGGGGGGGGGGGGGGAAACUGAGGCCCGGAGUGGCCGUGAGCCCUGACGCGGGAGCACGGCUCGGCUCCUCCGUCGGGGGAGUUUUGUUUUCUGAAUCCCCCCCAGAGCGCCCCCCUCUUUCACACCUAGGGGAAAGCAGAGGCUGGAGGGCACCCCACUCCCUCCCCGCGGGCGGACCCCCGGGCCAGCGGGAAGGGCUGGGGGCUCAUGCUUCCGCUGCACGUGGGACCUGACUUCGGGGACCCUCUUUAAGCCGGGGCUCUUCGGUGCAAAUGAUCCCACAGGACACCACCCGGGACGGUGGCUGCCCCGUUUGGAGUGGCCAGGUCCAAGCUAACCAUGGAAAAAACCGCCUCCAGCCUUCCUGCCAUGUGCUUCUGCAGCC
rnacentral:lncRNA from 1 species